rnacentral:rRNA from 1 species
UGGGGAAUAUUGCACAAUGGAGGGAACUCUGAUGCAGCGACGCCGCGUGAACGAAGAAGGCUUUCGAGUCGUAAAGUUCUUUUAUAUGGGAAGAUAAUGACGGUACCAUAAGAAAAAGCCCCGGCUAACUACGUGCCAGCAGCCGCGGUAAUACGUAGGGGGCUAGCGUUGUCCGGAAUCACUGGGCGUAAAGGGUUCGCAGGCGGAAAUGCAAGUCAGGUGUAAAAGGCAGUAGCUUAACUACUGUAAGCAGUUGAAGCUGCAUAUCUUGAGAAGAGUAGAGGUAAGUGUAAUUUUUAGUGUAGCGGAGAAAUGCGUAGAUAUUAAAAAGAAUACCGGUGGCGAAGGCGACUUACUGGGCUCAUUCUGACGCUGAGGAACGAAAGCGUGGGUAGCAAACAGG